rnacentral:rRNA from 1 species
GACGAACGCUGGCGGCGUGCUUAACACAUGCAAGUCGAACGGAAAGGCCCUGCUUUUGUGGGGUGCUCGAGUGCCGAACGGGUGAGUAACACGCGUGUAACACGCACUUAUCUUUGGGAUAACUUCAGGAAACUGCGGCUAAUACCGGAUAGGAGCUCCUGCUGCAUGGUGGUGGAUGGAAAGUUUCGGCUGUGGUGGCUGGUCUGGCGGCUUAUCCGCUUGUUGGUGGGGUAGUGGCUUACCAGGGCUUUGACGGGUAGCCGGCCUGGGAGGGUGACCGGCGACAGUGGGACUGAGAGACGGACCAGUCGCGUACGGGAGGCAGCAGUGGGGAAUAUUACGGAAUAGGGGGGAGCCUGAUGCGGCAGUGCCGCGAGCGGGAUGACGGCCUACGGGGUGUAAACCGCUUUGGCCUGUGACGAGGCGGGAGUGACGGUAAUGGGUAAAAAAGCACCGGCUAACUACGUG